rnacentral:rRNA from 1 species
GAUGAACGCUGGCGGCGUGCCUAAUACAUGCAAGUCGAGCGAACAGACGAGGAGCUUGCUCCUCUGACGUUAGCGGCGGACGGGUGAGUAACACGUGGAUAACCUACCUAUAAGACUGGGAUAACUUCGGGAAACCGGAGCUAAUACCGGAUAAUAUAUUGAACCGCAUGGUUCAAUAGUGAAAGACGGUUUUGCUGUCACUUAUAGAUGGAUCCGCGCCGCAUUAGCUAGUUGGUAAGGUAACGGCUUACCAAGGCAACGAUGCGUAGCCGACCUGAGAGGGUGAUCGGCCACACUGGAACUGAGACACGGUCCAGACUCCUACGGGAGGCAGCAGUAGGGAAUCUUCCGCAAGGGGCGAAAGCCUGACGGAGCAACGCCGCGUGAGUGAUGAAGGUCUUCGGAUCGUAAAACUCUGUUAUUAGGGAAGAACAAAUGUGUAAGUAACUAUGCACGUCUUGACGGUACCGAAUCAGAAAGCCACGGCUAACUACGU